UAUAAAAUCCAAAACAAAAAGACCAUUUUAGUAUUUAAGCAAAUUUUUAUAACAAAUAAUUAUACCCGUAGUUAUAACAAACAAUAUAACAUGAAACAACAUAUGCUUUUGAAACCGUUUCUUCAAGCACCCCGUUGUGUGAAUUUCACAAAUUUACGCCAUCGUUUUCUUCCAAUCAUUUUCACAAGUACAAGAUAUCCCACAGAUAUUCCAAUUACCACCCUAGAUGCAUACCCCAUCCACACUACCUUCCAAUCAAAUCCAUUCUCUUGCUCCAAAUUAUUAUCUUUCUAGAAUGAAGAUGGCGGCCAAAUUAUUUUCCACUGUAUGAAUCAUUUUUAAAUGUACCAAAUUGCUUGCCCUGAGGUAUGAACCCCGCAAGUCGGUUUUUUGAAACGUUAAACUUUUCAAGCCAUGUCAAAUAUGCCAAUUCCCACGCAAUCUCACCCACAAGCUUGUUUGGAGAGAGAUCUAACCAUCCAAGAACGCUCAAAUUGAUCUUUCUUUCCUUGUAUUUUAGCAUUAUUGGGUCUUGGUCCUAGAUCUAGGGUCCAGGUCUUGGGUUCGUGAUCUCUUGUUUCGAGCUCAGUUUUCACAUCGGAGUUUGGGACUCUGGGCAGAGUUUGGUGCUCAGAAGUCAGGAUCAAGGUUUGGAUUGCAGGGUCUAGCUGGGGGGUUUAGGGAGAUCAGGUAUCCUCAGUAUGCAAAAGCUUCCCUUUGUCAAGCUUGUUAUAUAGCGAUAUAUUUUGGAAAUAUGGAUAAGAUGGUUGCAGCAAUGCGAGCUUUUAAUGGCUUGUACAAGACUCUUUUCUUAAGCAGAAGAGCUUUUGCAGAAUUCACUUAUCAUCAAGGUUUGAGAGGGAAGGAAUUGAUGCAGGCUCUAUGGAAGGCCCAUAGACAUGAUUUUGUUAUGGGGAGAGGAUCUGCUCUGUCUGAUUGCUUUUGUGAGUUCAAAUUAUGUUUUCAGAUGUCAAUUUGAUCUUUCUUUCCUUUAGUUUGUUUUCUCUUUUUCCUUUAAAAAUCCUAUGUAACUGCCAUUACUAAGGUGGCGUUUGGGAGUGUUCUUGUUUUAAAAAAAUUUGGAAACUAAAGCGUUUGGUAAAACCAAUGAACGCAGCUUAUUUUAGAAAUUGCAG